AUUGCAGCAAAGGCAAGGAGUGCUGGUUUGUGCCGCUCCAGUGGGUAAUUUCUGGAGGGAUGUUCAGGCUGUGCCUUUCAAUGGAGUGCCUUGGUGUGCCAGUCGCCAUUCCACCAGCCGACCAGACUUUGUGUUUGCUGAAGUAACAAUACCUUAUACUGCUUUCACAGUUGGGCACUGUUGCUGUGGUAACUGGAAAACAUGGUGGCAAAACAUCAGCUACAUAAACAAAAGCUCUAAUAAUAACUCAGGAGCUAUUUACCUUGUUAUCUUCGGUAUUUAGUGGUACAGUGGUCUCAUUUGUUAAAUAUUUCAUGUCUUGUAAACAUGUUAAUAUUACUGUCUGCAAGGUGUCUAGCUGAGCUUUAGUGUCAUUAUUAAGCAGACUUAGGCUGUACAGUAUCAGAAAAAAUAUGUAUAAGUACAGAAACUUUACUCCCGGAAAUCUGUUCGGAGCCAUAUUCAUACAGCUAUUGUGAUGUUUCAACUUUAAGGCCAAUUCACCCCUGCUAAUUUUAAUUAUCUCAUAGCAACACAAAACUGGAAUAAUACAGAGCAGAGAGGCCUCAGUUGGGUAUGAUCCAACUGGAUCCAAAAUCCAAGGAUUUUGCUGAUUCUUAUAAAUAACAGUUUUAAUUUACUUGUUGUCAAUUUUACUUUACAGGGCAAUAAUAGAGAUGACAAAAUGCACCUUUACGCCCUGUAACUAUUUUGUUAAGUACCAGAUUCAUUUGUUAUCUUUUGUAUUUGAAUUUGUGGGGCCCAUUUAUUUCAAAACAUAUCUAGUCCAUAACAUCGGGGAAGUAAUUCAUGGAAGUGCACCCACUAUGACUGCAUACACUCUUUGAAGAGGAACUUCCAACUCUGUGGACUAACCCUACUCAUGAGUGACAGGUUUCCCUCUUUACCAAGAAAGAUCUUUAGUGGAAGUCUAGUGAAAAUCACUGCAGUUGUCUGACAGCAUCCUAUAAAUGCAAUUGUAUGACACUAUUACCCUAAGUACUCCCUCUGAAAGUUUUUCACAUACUGCACAUUCUGGUUUUAUCUCCAAGAACUUUGUAGCCCUUUUAUUAAAAACAGACCUCAGAGACACUCUUUAAACAGAACAGAGAAUAUUACUUCAGUAAAUCAGGUCGGAAACUAUUUUGCAAAGCAGUUAGUCAUUAAUGAAAUCAUUCCAAAGGUCACUAAGUUUAGCUCAAUUUCCUUAUAGGUGGAGAUGAGAGCUCCGUGAAUAAUUAAUAGCAAAUGAGUGAAUGAAUUUCACCUUCCCACUGUAGUUACAAGAUCUUGCAGCAACUCACGAUACUCUCAAGAAUGUUCUGAAAGCAUUGUUGUGGUUGCAUCUCAUAGUUUCUACUCUUGAAAUGUUUGAGCUGGUCUGUCUCUCUGCUCCAUUCCCUCAUCUCUCCAAGCUAUGCUCCCUCAGUUCUCCUUGCAAUGGAAAUUCAAGACUGCAGGAGUACACAUACUUUAUCAGUGACAACGUGUCACAGAGCUACGGGAUGAGAGAAAAUACUUUUCCUCAAUGUCUCAAAGUCUUUCCACUGAGAGAAAAAAAAAGGUCCUGCGUUCCCAAAGAAGUUUGUCAAUGUAAUAGGAACCAUAUUCCAUGAGGAACUCUUGGGCUCCAGCUCUAGUUCCUGUUGCAGAAUGACAGAAGUAUCAAGUAAGAGCAAGUGGAGAAUCACUGAGGUCAAACAAGAGAACCUGCAAAGAAGACAAGCAUUUACAAUCACAUCCUUCUGAAACUAGGCAGCUUUCUCUGGUAUAAGAAAAACACUUUGUCUGAGGGCUGCAGUCUUAUCUGAAUGAGGAGAAGCAACUCUGUGAGCAAAGACAUUUCUCUAGAUUUAGAAAGACUAUGACAGUGACCUUUUCCAAAACUGUUUGUUAUACCGUUUAAGAGAAAGUGUGUAAUGCUCCCUACAGAGCAUUUUGUUUAGAAAUGGGGGCAUACAAUACAUCCCUGCACAACGAAGGCCUCUCAUCUGGCUAAAUUAUGUCAACAAAGUUGCUGUGAAUGCUGACGUGAAAAGUGCUUGCUUUGCAGACCGUAACAAAGGACAGGUUUAUUUCAUACUUGCUGGAACCUCUAAUACAAUGUACUUGAAGAUAGGCUUGAAAUAUUUGCUACAAGCUUUAGGUAUUUGAGAAAUUAAAGAAAUGCUUUUGUCCUUCAAACACAAGAAUGUUAAUAAAUUGUACUUCCCGAA